GGGGCGGGGGGAAAAGGGGGGGUUUCCAUCAUGGCGUCAAUGCAGAAAAGGUUACAGAAGGAGCUAAUGGCUUUGCAAAAUGACCCACCCCCAGGAAUGACUUUAAAUGAGAAGAGUGUACAAAAUUCAAUAACGCAAUGGAUUGUAGACAUGGAAGGAGCGCCAGGCACACUCUAUGAAGGAGAGAAAUUUCAGCUUCUGUUCAAAUUCAGUGGUCGUUACCCUUUUGAUUCACCUCAGGUUAUUUUCACUGGUGAUAAUAUUCCAGUUCAUCCUCACGUUUACAGCAAUGGACAUAUUUGCCUCUCCAUUUUGACAGAAGACUGGUCUCCAGCUCUCUCUGUGCAGUCAGUCUGUCUUAGCAUCAUCAGCAUGCUUUCCAGUUGCAAAGAAAAGGUAAUCCAAGAGGCGGCCUCCUGAUAAUUCAUUUUAUGUAAGGACAUGUAAUAAAAAUCCAAAGAAAACAAAAUGGUGGUAUCAUGAUGAUACAUGUUGAUGUUCAGAUUCUUGGCCCUGGUAGAGGAGAAAGUACUGCUGAGUCCAAAAGCACUUUGAUCGGUCAAUUUUUGAACUUUAACACAGACUUGCCUGCAGGCACUGGAGACUACUUCCUUUACUGCAUUUCUACUAGUGUAUAUCAGGGCAUAUGCUGAUAGCUGGUUAAGUUCCUGCAACUGACCCUAUUUCAUUUAUUAAGCGGUAUUAAUGCAGCACUUAGGAAGAAAUCUUGUAAUUUCAACAAUAAAUCAUCUCUGUUGUUUAGUUUACUGUGAGGACAUACCUUGUGAGAAGGUUUGAAACCCUCCUGUGUUGUGCAAUAAAUGGUUAUUGGCGCAUGCUUGGAGACUUAAAACAAAAGGAAAUCUGUGCAAUAAAAACAAAGGGAUCCAUUUUUAAUUGACAUUUGCAACUGUAUUAUUAUACUAAAUUUAAUGCAUUGCUGUCACAUAGCCAGGAAUGUAAAAACUUGUGGCAUAUUUUGCUGCAGCAACAAAUUUAAUUCGUUCAAUGAAGCAUUCCAAAACUUAAAAUUUUUCAAUACAGUUGUCUCAUUAAAAAAAUAUAUUUAAUUUAUUUUACUUGAGCCAAAUUACCUUUGGAAAAAUACAUUCUUCAUGGGCAUUUGUCAGGGUCAUUGACCAGCCUUCAGUGUGGGCCCUCGUGCUCCCAUUUCCCCAAAAAGACAGUUUUAAACUGGAACACAACUAUAAUGUAUUGCUUUGCAUUCAUUUUGUUUCUCCAAUGUCACAUUUUUUGUUAUCAUACUUGAAGCUUCUGAUAUGAAAUAUAUUUUGAAUGAAAAGCUGUUUUGUUAUAAUACUGUCUUCUCUAAAUUAUUUCCUAUGUAUCUGACACCUUGUCUUUAAUUCUUUGCUAUAAAAAUUGCAAUCCAUCUUGAAGAAUACAAUUAAUGUUUUGACAUAUUACUUAAAGAUAUAUGUUAACAUAUAUGUUGCUGUGUUGCAGUUCAUUAGCUUCUCAUUAUGAAAAAGAUAUAACUAAUCUUUGUUGAACCAUUAUUUAUGAAUGAAAUUAAAUGCUGUAGGUUGGAAUUUGAAAGUAAUUGUAAAAAUGAGACUUGAAUACUCUAUGCCACUAUUGCAUAUGUUCUUAAUAACAAAAUUAGGGCUGAAAGCUAGGUGGAAAAUGAUUUCAGGAUGCAACUGUUGAAACCUCUAAAGAUGAUACCUGAGAUAAACCAGAGUGAUGAUUCCCCCCGCCCCCAACCCACCCCCCCAAAAGUACUGCUGAUCUGUGUAAGAAAUUUAACCUUUUGUGUACUGAGUUGCCUUUGUAGCAUUUACAAAUUGACAUUUGUUAACACUGGCAACACGUUUUUUUGUAAACUUCUAAUAUAAAAUUUAGAGAAAUUGUAAACCAUAUUUUCAUUCAUGGUAGCCUGCUGAUAAAUAAGACCAAUAUGGUCAGAUCAUUAUUAUUUUCAGUAAUGUAACUGUUCAACUGCAGGGUUAAAUAAUUAGUUGUAUUGUCCCUUAUAAAACAUGCAGAAUUGUGUUUUUUAUGUAAGUAUAUUAAAGAAAAACAUGUUUAGCUUUCCAUUUUAUUUUAGUUUUAUUGAUUGAUAGCGUUCAUUGACUUCCCUAGUGAGUUAUUCACUAACAAUUUUCAUAAACAAGAUUUAGUUGAUUAAUCAAAGCAUAGCCAGCAACACUUCUGAAUUAAUUGAUUUUGGACAAACUCUGUAAAUACUGUCCUUCUGUACUUCAGACUGAAGUGCCUAUAUUGCCUGGUGUUGGCAAUGUUAUGGUCACGUUAUAUUAGUAAGACUCAUGACUAACACUUCAGGUUAAAUUACUUGCAAAUCCAUCUACUGGUUGAGAGUUUUCUAAAUUAGGAUUGCUUCAUCAUAGAUUUACAAAACUGGGAUUAAAGUUGAGGGAAUUUUAAAAUCUCAAUAAAUGUCCACUUUUUCAGAUGGCAUUUGUGUGAAACCACAAUUUAUCUGUUUAUUAAGCCAAAACAUUGUUUACCCACCUGUCUUUGGACAUGGGCUGUGCAGCCUGCAAUAUUUUGGGACAAAUUAUCUCAAAUUCUCAAUAUCUAGGAUAUAAUAUCAAAGCAUUGUCCACGCAUUUAAGUGUAUAAAUUUGAAAUCUCUGCAGGACCAGUGUUAAGUUUUAACUGGACUCAGCUUAUCUUUUUUAAAACAAUACGCCAGCUAAUUGACUUGAUGUAGCCUGAAUAUAGUCUAUAUUUGUACAGAUCUUGCACUUGCAAACAUUUUAGCGAAAUGCUGCAUUUACCAUUUGUUAAUAUCAUUGGAGACAUAAAUAAUCUCAUGGUUUGCGGUGUUAAUUUGGCACACUGAUGGGUCAAAUUUGUAUACUGUUUAACUGUACCAUAUUUUGAGUGUUAUACUGUGGAGGUAAAAUAUAUGGCAAUGAAUUGGCUGAAGAAAAAAUAAAUCUUAGUUUUAUACAAUAGAGCACUUAAAUAAUAACAUUUAUUUCUGAAUAGCAACAUAGUAUUCUACAAAGGAUUUUCUAAGCAUUGUUUUCGCUUCUGAACACACUUCUGACAACCUUUUAGUGAAUUUGUCAUUAAAUGGGGAUUUCUUAGUAUGCUCUGAACAGACCAUAUGUAGAAUAUUCAUGCCGUUUUAUACAAACCUGGUAGAUUUUCAGAAAUAUUUUUUCAUCCUAUCCAGUUCUUCCUGGCCUAGUAUUAAAGAAUUUAAUAGACUGUUUAUUGCCAAGAAAGGUAUCUACUGAAAAUUUGUUUAACUUUUUAAAAUUGGAUUAGUGCUUGAGUUAUAUAAAUUUAUAAUAUGUUCUGAACAGUGCCAGUCUAAGUUCCCCAAUGCUAAAAAGCUUGUGAAAAUCUGAAUAAUAUUCUACCUUAAUCCUUGAAUCUGGCUAUGGAAAUUCUAAUUGGCUCAGUUUUUAGCUGCAAUGUUAUAUUAAAAUUUGUGUUAAUGUUGCUUAGUUUUGCUUGGAUGUGAGGAAAACUGGAAAGUGUGAGAUUGUUGCCGAUAUAGGCAUUUUGUUAAAAGAAAAUGGCCUGCCUGACUUGGGGAUUCCUAGCUGCAUCCUUGUUACCACUGGCCUUGAUUUUAUUUUCCGUGGUUUGGGUUCUUUGUUUCCUCCAUUAUCUAAAUCCUCAGCAGCUAAGCACACAGGUGACUCCAUUGUCCUAUACCUUAAAAAUCAUUUAAGACUCAAAGUUCGAGCAAUAUGCUCACUAAACUGAGAUGGCUUGAAAUUAGUGUCUUUAGGUUAGUGAGAGGAUUCGUAUUCCUGUUGUGUUAUUCAGUUAGUCUCGAUAGAGAGAUGUGAGAGACAUUGCUAAGAUCAUAUUUGACUCAGCUGUGUUUUGAAGGUGAGUAGCCCACCAGGUACAUUCAGAAUUGCUUUUGUUGAAGUAGAACAUUGUUUAUGCCUAAGGACCAUUUUAGAGGAGUUAUUAGCUUCAGAAGAGAAGAAUGUUGGAAGUCCCUCGGACACCAAAUAAUCUUGAUCCAGAGAAAUCCUUCCAUAUGGAUGGUAACUACAACCUACACUACUGAAACGUUUUCCAUUAAGUGAUUUCCACAAAAUUUUAAAAAUGUUGUUUGUUUAGUGUUCCGUGUGAGAGUUCAAAUAGUGUUAAAACUUUUCAUGCAAAAUAGCUGCCCAGACAUACCUCAGUAUUCAGUUCCAAAGGACAUUCUGAUCUCCCACAAAAUCACUGUAAUCAGCAGUAGGAUGAAAAUCCAUUAAAUUUUUUACAUUUAAAUAUUUGAUGUAACUGUUGGUAAAUGCAGUGCCCAGUGCAAAACUUAGCCAUGCGGGUAGGAAGUUACCAGAUUCUAUCCCACAAUUUUAAACUGGCCCAUCUCACCUGAGAUUGCAGGAGAGAUUAAACAAUGACAUUGUAGUGCUGAAGGGUUGAGGGGGGGAGGAAUAAUGAGAGUCGUCCCAGAUCAGCUGCUCCUGCUGGAAACAAAAUGUGGAUUUGGAUGAAGCUUGCUUGAAAAGGCCUCAAGUCGGGAGCUAUAGACCUGGAAGCCACAGGACAGGAGUGAAUCUGGGUUGAGAAGGCACUACUCUCAAAUUUAUUACUACAUUCUAUUAUUCCUGCAUAUUGCAUAUUCCUUGAUCUUCUGAUUUCAGUUUAAUUUUCAUUCAUUCACCUUUUAUGCUGUCAUUUCUGUAAAUGUUACUUGCAGUUUUUACUCAGUGGAAGUAAGAAAUGUGAUGCAUGGUCAUGAGAAUCUCUUCUGUGAAUAUGUUAUUCAAUGAAUAAUCACCUGUGUAUUUUAUAACUUACUGGUCACUUUCACCACCAGUCUGGGACAGCUUUCAUAAUCCUAUCAAAGUUCUGUUCCCUUUAAAAAAAUGAUUUAUUUCUAAUGCAAGGACAAUGACAUGCAACAUGGUUGUUUUGAAAUAA